rnacentral:rRNA from 1 species
AUGUAAAUUUUUGUGUGAGUAUUUAUUUAUUUUAAUAAUAAAUAAUUUUUAAUUAAUCGCAGUAAUUAAUAUUAUAAAUUAAAGAAAUUUAGAAAUAGUAAUAUUAAAUAGUAUUGGCAAAAUUCGUGCCAGCAGUCGCGGUUAUACGAAUAAUACAAAUGAAAAUAUUUAGUAAAAGUUAAUUGAUAUAAUAAAUACCAAAUAAUUUAUGAGGUGAAAUUUAAAUUAUUAAAUUUUUGAAUAAAAAAUGAUUGAAGCUUAAAAAUUUUAAAUAUAAACUAGGAUUAGAUACCCUAUUAUUUAAAAUGUAAUUAAAUUUACUUAAGUAGUAUUAGUUAUGUUCUUGAAACUUAAAAAAUUUGGCGGUAUUUUAGCUCAUAUUCAGAGGAACCUGUUCUGUAAUCGAUAAUCCACGAUGGACCUAACUUAAAUUUGUUUUCAGUUUAUAUACCGUCGUUAGCAGAAUAUUUUAUAAGAAUGAUAAUUUUCUAGAAUUUUUAUAUAAAUUUAUAUCAGAUCAAGGUGUAGCUUAUAUUUAAGUAGAAAUGGGUUACAAUAAAAUUAUUUAAAUGGAUUUAAAUAUGAAAAAUUUAUUGAAAGUGGAUUUGAUAGUAAAAUUAUAAAGAUUAAUAAUUUGAUUUUAGCUCUAAAAUAUGCACACAUCGCCCGUCGCUCUUAUUAUUAAGGUAAGAUAAGUCGUAACAUAGUAGAUGUA